GGCCGGCGUGGGGCCCUGCCCCGGGACGCACGGCCGGCGUGGGCCCCAGGCCCGCCCUCCUCCCCGGGCCGGCCCGAGCCACGCGGCUGCGGCGGCCCCCCGGGGAGCGCCGGGCCUAGCGCCCCUCUCCCGCCCGCCGGCGGGCCGGGCUCCCUCCCACCGGCCGCGGCCUGCCCGCCCCAGCGCUGCCCGCCCGGCCUGGAGCGGGGGGCCCGGCCGGCCCUCAGCCAGGCACCGCCGGGGCCCCGCGGCGCCUCCCGCGCCUUCUUCGCCGGGCCGGGGCAAGCGCGGCGGCGCCAGCCGCAGGGACGGCCCGGCCGCAGGCGUGGCCCGGCGGCCUGGGGUGCGGGGGAGCCCCCCGGCGACUCGGGGCCCUCGCCCGGCCUGACAGCCGGCCCGAGCUGGGGGCGGGGGGAGCGGGGUGCGGAGGGGGGCUGUGGGGGGUGCCGAGGGGUCUAGAGCAGCGUGCAGAGCAGAGCAUCCGCCUUCGGGAGGGCGGCCGGCCCCCCCCACCCCGCCGAGACCCCCGCCCGCCCCCCGGCUGUGCGCAGCGCGGCGGGCCCUGGGCCGCGGGUCCCAGCAGCGCCCCCGACCCGCAGCGUGCCCUUGAGCGAGUCCGGCUCACGUGGCGCUUCACCCUGCCUCUCUUUAAGAAACAUUUGUCGUUUAAGUCUUUAAUGAGCUGUGGGUUCACGAUGUCCUAAAGCAGAAGACACUGUGUCCUCCGGGCUUUGCUGAGCCACGACGGGCCUGCCCUGCCCAGGCAGCACCUGGUCCCUUCCCAACUCCCGCAGGCUGUUGGAGUCUGCUUGGCACCGAGGAGGAAAACUGGGGACCAUCAAAUGAAACUUGUGAGAGGUUUGUUCAAAACUAAUGCAAGAACAUAACUCUUAACACAACGUGCAGUUAAACUGUGGGACUCCUGGCCAGAGGAUAUUAGAGGAUAAAAGCUUUUUAUGUGCCCAGAAAGCAUUUUAAAAAGAUUGAUGAAAUGAAUGUGUUGAAGGCUAUUAAAUGCAGUGCAGCAUUUCUGGCUGAGGAAGUCCCUGAGCUGAAAAUUGUGGAAGCUGGGACAGUAUUUUGGAGAUGAGUAUUUCUCCUACUCUUUGGCAGGUGGUCUUUAUUUGCCUGUGUCCUAGGCAGAAUCCUGGUUUAACUGCUGAAUUGUCUGACCUGUCAUUGUUAUUUUUAAAUUAAUAUCUUCAAGCCAUUUCAAUUUUUGGAUAGCCUAAGGGCAGGCUAAAAUGGGAAUUACCAGUAAACCUUGUGUCAUGUUUUAAACACAACUGGCAACUAAGUACCAUGCAGCUGCUUACUCAGCCCCCCUACCCCAGUGGGAUGGGGAGGAAAACCAAAAAGAAAGUGAAACCCGUGGGUUGAAAUAAGAAAGGUUUAGUAAUUGAAAUAAUGAUGAUUAUGAUAAUAAUAAUAUAAUUGUAAUGAAAAAGGAGACAACAAAAAGAGGGAAAGAAAUAAACCCCAAGGAAGAUAAGGGAUGCACAAUACGGUUGCUCCUCACCGACUGACCGAUGGCAGUCCCCGAGCAGCAAUUCCCCCCCCAGCCAAUAUACAGAGCGUGAUGUUCUAUGGUAUGGAAUAGGGAAUAGCCCUUUGGCUCGUUGGGGUCAGCUGUCCUGGUUAUGCUCCCUCACAGCUUCUUGUGCACCUCCUGAGAGGCAGGGCAUGGGAGCUGAAAAGUCCUUGAUUUAGGCUGGGUAAGCACUACUUAGCAACAACUAAAACAUCAGUGCGUUAUCAACAUUAUUCUCAUACCUAACCCAAACCACAGCACUGCACCAGCUCCUAGGAAGAAGAUUAACUCUCUUCCAGCUGAAACGAGGACACCGUGUUGCCUCAGUGUAUGUUCUCAUACCCUUUUUAGAUCAUUGAAAAAAUGCUAAUGGCAUUUUUUGUGUUUCUCUCAACUAAUCCACUUUUUCUGCCACUUCAAACUUUCCAGUUUUCCUUUUAAAAUGUGAAAGCGCGAUUUAGAGGCAAGUACUGUUUUCUGAGGUGAAAUUACCUGCCUUCUUCAAUUAGCUCUUUUUGCUGCUGCUUUUCUCUGGGAGCACAUGUACUGGUUGUCUGCUGCUGCUCUUCAUCGUAUUCUGCAGGAAUUGCUUUUGUUUCUGCUUCUGGAGUAACAGCUUUAGUCAGGGGGUUGGUUUUGUUAAACCAGUCUGUUUAAGCCCAGUGUAAGUACCCUUGGUGACUGCUCAGUUCCAUGUGGAUAUUUGUUACUUGCCAGUCAUCACGGCUUGGCUCAGUACUGUGACAAUCUUUGACAUCCAUGGAUUUUAUCAAGAGUAAAACAUUACCUCCUGUCUGUUAGUGGAAAACCUGAAAAUUGUUAGGUCUGGUUUGAAGUGAUUUUCCUAGACUCUUGCUGGACCACUGCUGACAACUGGUUUCAGGGCAGCAAAAAAGUGGGGCUAACUUUUUUUUCUUCUUCUUCUUCUUUUUGAGAUUUUGUGCUCUGAUUUGAACCAUUCAGCAUCUAUGCUGUAGACAGAGUGCUAAGGCUCUAAGCGUGCUUUUGUGAGAUACCAAGCUUAUUUUUUUUUUGCAAAACUGAAGUAUGUUACAUCUUUGUAGUUGCUUUUGUGAAUCCACCUUUUGUUUAAGUUCUGUUAAAAAGCAAAAUCAACGUAGCUCCCUGACAAACACUGAUUAAUACAAAGUGUCUCUUAAGUCUAUAGUGAUCUGAUUCCAUAAUUCUCUUCUGUCAUGAAUCUCAGGUCAUAUAAUCAUGUAACCUUAGCAGCAUAAAUUACUACAAAUACACAUUUUUUUUUAGUCCUGAUAGACAUUAGAACUCUUCUAAGCUAGUAUAUUUCCCCAGUCUUCUAACAUUUCUUAGACAUUUAAAUCUAUAGGUAUGACGUCUCCCCAGUCAGCUAUUUUUAGCAGGUUUUGUGCCUGCUGAUUUUUAAAAUAUUUCCUCUGACUAAAUUUUGUUCAAUUUUGCCUUCCUUAGUAUUGGACUGAAAAAAGUUCAUUUCUUUGUGACGAGAGUACAUAAUUGUCCAUUUCUCCUGAAACAGAAGAUUUUGGAGACCUAUGCCUUUCAUGCAUUGUGAGCAGCUGUAUCAUCAUGUAGCAUGUGAUAAUGCAUCAUAGUUUAGAUUUCUUCUAGCUUUGAACAACUGCUGUGCCUUAUUUCCUUAGCUUUCCUUAGUCAGUGUUCUUCGCUCC